rnacentral:rRNA from 2 species
GGAUGCGAUCAUACCAGCACUAAAGCACCGGAUUCCAUCAGAACUCCGAAGUUAAGCGUGCUUGGGUGAGAGUAGUACUAGGAUGGGUGACCUCCUGGGAAGUCCUCGUGUUGCAUUCC